CUAUUUGUGCCUGACCCAAAUGUGAAUGAUCGCCGGCAUCACACACCGCUUCAUCGCCGACACGAAUUAGGGUUUUGGAAGUACCAAAUUUCCUCGCAAUCAUCAUUUUCAAUGGAAGAUAGGAUUAGCUCCCUACCAGAUGAAGUCAUAUCUCACAUUCUUUCAUUCCUUCCAACCAAACUCGCUGCCACAACAAGCAUCCUUUCAAAAAGAUGGAACCCAUUAUGGCUCUCAGUUCCCACUCUCAACUUCGACGACAAAACCUCUCAAAACAUCGAAUCCUUUCUCAAGUUCGUCUCCUCCGCAUUACUCUCACGAGACAUUACUUUACCCAUUCAAUCCUUCCACCUCAAAUGUGUAAACGCUUCUAAGCGCCGCCACUCACUCGACAUCAACGCUUUCUUCGACGCAGUUGCGCAGCGAAGAGUCCAGAACGUCAGUCUUAGACUCACCAUUAGGGUUAACGUACCUCCUAGCCUUUUCACUUGUAGAACCCUUGUUGUUCUUCAUUUGAGAAAGAUAAAAGUUAACCACCUUUCUAAACUGGAUGUUGAUUUUCCACUCCUCAAAACUCUCAGUUUAUCUUACAUUAACUUCGAACGUAUCGAUUAUCUUCCUGUGCUUCUAUAUGGAUGUCCCGUCCUAGAGGAAUUCCGUACAAAAUGGUUAGGUGUACGUAGUAGGGAUAAGGCAGUUCCUCAAGAGGUUAUAAUGAAAGAUUAUCCAACUUUACCAAAAUUGCCGUAUCUGAUGUGUAUGAUUCAUUGGCCAAACGGCCAGGUUCUGAGAGGAGAACUAGACUCACAUUGCUGCAGCUAUCCUAUUCUUUACAAUGUAAUAUACAUGGAGGUAAUCCUUAAGCAUAGAUAUCUUAAGGAGGAGUGGGUGUGGUUGCUAGAAAGGCUGGAUUAUUUUCCCAACCUUCGAAAUCUUACCAUUAUCGAGGACAAUGAGAAUGGAGAGGAAAUUGUGUAUAAUUGGAGGGAACGAACAUCUAUUCCGGAAUGUCUUUCAGUACAUCUUAGAACAUGUUUGAUUAAACAAUUUACAUACACAGAAUGUGGUCUUCAAUUUGCUGAAUAUAUUUUGAAGAAUUCAAAAGUACUGGACACAAUGUCAAUCAAGAGUGCUUCUUUCAUAAAUGAAAAUGUCAAGCACCAAAUGUUAACGAUAUUAGCUUCGGAGGAAAGAGCCUCGGCAACAUGUAAACUUUUAUUUGAUUGAUGAAAGUUUGGGCAUAAUUGCGGACUCACAUUGAGGUAAUCAAUAAGCAUGGUGAUCUUAAGGAGCAGUGGUGUGUUUGCUGGAAAGGCUGAAUUAUUGUUCGAAGUUUUAGAAUCUUACCAUUAUCGAGGACAAUGGGAACGAAGAGGAAAUUGUGUAUAAUUGGAGGGAACCCACAUCUAUUCCGGAAUUUCUUUCAACACAGCUUAGAACAUGUUUGAUUAAAUAAUUUACAUGCACAGAAUGUGGUCUUCAAUUUGCUAAAUAUAUUUUGAAGAAUUCAAAAGUACUGGGCACAAUGUCAAUCAAGAGUGCUUCUUUCAGAAAUGCAAAUGUCGAGCACAAAAUGUUAAUGAAAUUAGCUUCUGAGAGAAGAGCCGGCCUUGCCAACUUUUAAACUUUUAUUUGAUCGAUGAAAGUUAGACAUAAUUAUAUUAGGUUUUAUAGACAUUGCCAAUGUUUCACUUUGACUCAUUUUGAUUUUAAAUAUAUUGAUUUU